GAGUCGACUCGAGGACUAUUCUUUUGGAUUUUCCUUUGAAUUUGCUCUUCCAACUUGAGUCCUUUGAACUUGAAACUUGGGUCAAUAAAUUGUAGCUUUCUUCCAACUUUUCUUGAGAGCUUUGGAGGCCUUCUUGUGUUCUUCCAACUUGCUAUAUUCCUUGCAAAAUAACUAUCUUUCUUCUUGCAACACAAACGUUAGUAUUUAUACUUCAAGGUUUUGUGAUCAUCAAAAUCAAUCUUUAAAUCAAUCUUUGGGUCAUCAGUCU
rnacentral:lncRNA from 1 species